GAUGAAUGCUGGCGGCGUGCCUAACACAUGCAAGUCGAGCGGUAAGGCCCUUCGGGGUACACGAGCGGCGGACGGCUGAGUAACGCGUGGGAAUUUGCCCCAAAGUGAGGAAUAACUGCCCGAAAGGGUAGCUAAUGCCGCAUAUGGUCUUCGGAUUAAAGGAUUUAUCCGCUUUGGGAGAAGCCCGCGUUGGAUUAGGUAGUUGGUGAGAUAAAAGCUCACCAAGCCAACGAUCCAUAGCUGGUCUGAGAGGAUGACCAGCCAGACUGGAACUGAGACACGGUCCAGACUCCUACGGGAGGCAGCAGUGAGGAAUCUUCCACAAUGGGCGAAAGCCUGAUGGAGCAACGCCGCGUGCAGGAUGAAGGCCUUCGGGUUGUAAACUGCUUUUAUGAGUGAAGAAUAUGACGGUAACUCAUGAAUAAGCACCGGCUAACUACGUGCCAGCAGCCGCAGUAA
rnacentral:rRNA from 1 species